ensembl:lncRNA
CCAUCCGUUACUCCUCCGGGCAGACGAGCUCCAAGGAGGCAAAACAGAGUCCAGCCCUCCCUGCAGCCUCUGCUGAGCCUUUGGCCCUCCAGCCCCCGCUCCCUGUACCUGGAGCUGCUGGCUCCCUGGCACCUUCCGGGGCUUGCCUGGCACCGUCCAGGGGGGCUCAAGGUCAGCCUCUCUGGUGUUGAGGGUCCCUGGAGAGCGGUCCUUCCUGCAGAUGCCCCUGGGAGCCUUUGGACUCUUGGCUUAGAACCUCAACACCCCAAAUGCAACUGAUGUUGUCACAGCCGAGAGAAAAGUGACCACAGCCCACCUUGCCCCAGGAGACAUGGGCUCGGUCCCUGGCCCAGGAAGACCCCACAGCCCGUGGAGCAACUAAGCAUCUGCACCACAAUUUCUGAAGCCCCUGCACUCAGGAGCCCAUGCUCUGGGACAAAAGAAGCCACUAAAGUGAGCCGCUCACACCCCAAAACCGUAGGGAGCCCCCACUCACCGCAGCUGGAGGGAAGCCCACACUGCAAGGAAGAUCCAGCACAGACACAGACAAACAAACAAACUUAAUUUUAAAAAACAAACAAGAAACCACCUCUGCAUAAACACCCUCACAGAGACGUGGCCGAGACCAGCAGGGCUUCUAGCUGACAAACGUCCCGGGACGCCGCCUCCGUGUGCGCUCAGUCGUGCAACGCGGGGGCUGCCGAGAGGACAGACUGUGCAGCCAGCGCCCGCCCCCCGGACCCCUUCCCCGGCAGGGGUCUCUCCAGGCCCGCAGCCCUUUCUCCGAACACCAUCCUCGGGAGGAAGGCCGGUCCGGGGCUCUGACAGCCGCCGGCAGCUGGUCCGGUGCGUCUACACUGGCCACCGUCCGCAGGUUUUCACCUGAGCCCACCCUCUCUGCGCCUUUCAAAGCUCAGCGCUGCCCCCACUGCAGCAUUACUGAAUAAAAUCCGUUUCUCAGCUCCGGGCCCUGUCCGGCUUCCUUCGGCAGCCAUGCCGCCUUUCCGACGCGCUCGGUCGGUGAGUGGCGCCCGCGUCCUUCCCACGGUCGCCUCGUCCUUCGCGCGGGGACCCUCCGCUCUGCCUUCAAGGGGGCCGCCCGCUGCAAGUGGCCGGGUGGGGCCUGGCUGUCCACCCGAUCCUCGUUCCUGGUUGGGAGGUGGGGACGGCGUGGAGACCCCCAGGAAGAGGAGGACGUGAGGGUCUGGCGUGGAGCCGCACUCGGCGCGUGGCUGGCGACCACGUCCUCAGCACCGAGCGGGCCCCGCCGCGCAGGCCGGCGCCCCGAGGCCGCGGGAGUCCCGAGGCCGCACCCCGGGGCCCUGCCCGGUGCCGGCUUGGCUGCUGGGCUCCCUCCUAGACGCCCUCCCCCCCAGGGAACCCCGCAACCUGCCCUUCGGCCCACAGGUGGGAGAGCACUCUGAAGGCCCAGCACGUACGGGGAGCAGCCGAGGCCACCCUUCCGAGCUGCGUGUUCUUGGGCUCGACACUC